GUCCUUUUGAUUUUAUAGAAGGUCUGACCUGCCCAGUGAUUUAUUUUAACGGCCGCGGUAUAUUGACCGUGCAAAGGUAGCAUAAUCAUUAGUCUUUUAAAAGAGGGCUGGAAUGAAAGGUUUGACGAGGUAUUAACUGUCUCAUUUUAUUUGUAUUUAGAAUUUAACUUUUUAGUCAAAAGGCUUAAAUUUAAUUGGAAGACGAGAAGACCCUAUAGAGCUUUAUAAUAAUUAUUUUAGUUAUGAAUAUAUAAUUUUUAAUUAAAUAUUUUAUUAUUUUGUUGGGGUGACAGAAAAAUAAAACUAACUUUUUUAUUUAUUUUACAUUAAUUUAUGGUUAUCUGAUCCAUUAUUAUUGAUUAUUAGAUUAAGUUACCUUAGGGAUAACAGCGUAAUCCCCUCCCAGAGUUCAUAUUUACGAGUGGGGCUUGCGACCUCGAUGUUGGAUUAAGAUAAUAAUUAGGUGUAGCCGCUUAAUUUAUAGGUCUGUUCGACCUUUAAAUUCUU
rnacentral:rRNA from 1 species